UAAGGAAUAUUGGUCAAUGGACGCAAGUCUGAACCAGCCAUGCCGCGUGAAGGAUUAAGGUCCUCUGGAUUGUAAACUUCCUUUAUCUGGGACGAAAAAAGGCGAUUCUUCGUCACUUGACGGUACCAGAUGAAUAAGCACCGGCUAACUCCGUGCCAGCAGCCGCGGUAAUACGGAGGGUGCAAGCGUUAUCCGGAUUCACUGGGUUUAAAGGGUGCGUAGGCGGGCAGGUAAGUCAGUGGUGAAACCCCUGGAGCUUAACUCCCAGAACUGCCAUUGAUACUAUCUGUCUUGAAUAUUGUGGAGGUAAGCGGAAUAUGUCAUGUAGCGGUGAAAUGCUUAGAUAUGACAUAGAACACCUAUUGCGAAGGCAGCUUACUACGCAUAUAUUGACGCUGAGGCACGAAAGCGUGGGGAUCAAACAGGAUUAGAUACCCUGGUAGUCCACGCCCUAAACGAUGGAUACUCGACAUACGCGAUACACUGUGUGUGUCUGAGCGAAAGCAUUAAGUAUCCCCACCCUGGGGAAGUACGACCGCAAGGUUUGAAACUUAAAGGAAUUGACGGGGUCAUAGCUGUUUCCUG
rnacentral:rRNA from 1 species